rnacentral:misc_RNA from 1 species
AAGUCGUAACAAGGUUUCCGUAGGUGAACCUGCGGAAGGAUCAUUAACACGUAUCCAACGUUAAACCCCCCGUGAACCUUCAUUGUGCUCCCCCAUUCCGUUAGGACGCGGCAAUCCCUGGUAAAUCAUCGCCGAACAGUUUUGAUUCAGGGACCUCUGCAUGGAGUGGGCAGCAGCGCGAGGCAAGUGGCCUGGCAUUCGAAAGAAUGGCGCAGUAACGAUCGCUAGAGGCCGACACGUCACGCCCCCCUAUCACCUUUGCAUGAAAACGGGCCUGCGCUUAAUUGUGCGGCCACCAAACUCGAACAACUGUUAACAAUGGAUAUCUUGGUUCUC